AGAUUGAACGCUGGCGGCAUGCCUUACACAUGCAAGUCGAACGCGAAAGUAGGGGGCAACCCCUGCGAGUAGAGUGGCGAACGGGUGAGUAAUACAUCGGAACGUGUCCAGUAGCGGGGGAUAACCUCUCGAAAGAGAGGCUAAUACCGCAUACGACCUACGGGUGAAAGGGGGGGAUCGCAAGACCUCCCACUAUUGGAGCGGCCGAUGUCGGAUUAGCUAGUUGGCGGGGUAAAAGCCCACCAAGGCGACGAUCCGUAGCUGGUCUGAGAGGACGGCCAGCCACACUGGAACUGAGACACGGUCCAGACUCCUACGGGAGGCAGCAGUGGGGAAUUUGGACAAUGGGCGAAAGCCUGAUCCAGCCAUGCCGCGUGAGUGAAGAAGGCCGUUCGGGUUGUAAAGCGUCGUUUCGGCGGGUACGAAAGGUCCGUAGUUAACACCACGGAUCCAUCGACGGUACCCGCAGAAGAAGACACCGGCUAACUACGUGCCAGCAGACCGC
rnacentral:rRNA from 1 species